CUCUCUAAUCUGCCUGCAGGUGGCGCAUACACCCUAGGGAGUUCAUAAAACAAAAACAAACAAACACGCUUUUCCUCCAGUAAAGACGUUGCUAGAAAACAAACAAGGACUGGUUAAAAACUUUGUGAGAGAGAGUUAAGCCGCAUGGCCACGAGCUUCUCAAGACACCUCCGAUUGGUUUUAAGAAAGGGAUAGACCAUCUGGAUCUGACCCUAGCGGUCAGUGGCGAGCCAACCGCAGAAGUGAACGGAACAAGAGUCCGGUGUGGCCAGCCGUGGCAUCUUUGGAACCAGCAUCAUCCUGUGCCUUCAUUUGCAAUACAGAUAAGAACACACGUAAAUCUACCCGGGUAGUGAAAAGAACAUACUCUAGGAACCACACACACACAUCCAUAACUUCCAUGGACUCUUUCUUUACUUGAAGAUUUAUUUUGAUUUUAUUGUGCACUGUGCACUCAGGAAGCCGGCUUAGGUAGGCAGGGAAUGUAAUUAACUGCCCUUCAUUUUGUAUAAUACAAUGCUCAAAUUUAUGUUUUGUGUUGUCUGUUCUUUGAUGACCGGUUAUUAUUUCAGGCUCCACUGUCGUAUCUAGAGCUUCUGAUACUAGCCCAGCUUUAAUUUCUUAAUACUUAAACUAGUUAGUAGUUACAUUAACCUAAGCAGAGGGUUAC